AUGGGAGUGCUACAGUCUCACUGCCGGGUCUGGGUCUGGUGCCUGUCCCUGCAGCCCAGGAGCAGGGUCCGCAUUCGCCCUAGGGCUGUUCCCAAAGGAAGAGGUCUCCUCCCUUGCCAGAGAGGUGCGCAUGCUCAGACCCCGGUGCCCGGCCUUCGACAGAGAGGUGCGCAUGCUCAGACCCCGGUGCCCGGCCUUCGACAGAGAGGUGCGCAUGCUCAGACCCCAGUGCCUAUCCGACGAGAGAUGGCGGCGGCUGGAACGUUCCCGGCUCAGAGGCACCGCUCCGCUCUCUUCCCGCCCGGAGCCGGGACGGACCUUCGGGAUGACAGGUGCGAUUUCGGCCUUCGCUGCCCUCGCGGUUGCGUGCUGGGUGUUUCUGGGUGCGGGGCGGCCCGGCCCGCGGGAAUGGAGGCUAACCCCCCCGUGGGUGUAGGGCACAUAUCGACCCAGGAUGGAGAGUGGACAUGCUCCCCCGGGCUCCUGGUGCCGGCCACUGGGGCUCUGGGGACUAAGCCAGUGGCUGGAAGAUCUCUGUCUCUCUGAGUGGAAGCCUGGCUGUGGAACGCAGCGGCGCCCUGGGGCCUGCAGCUGUUUCCCCUGGGCUUGGCCCCCGGUGCCCCGGCGGUGUGGUUGCUCUGGGCCCUUCGCUGCAGUCGGGCCUGGCCAUGAGCGUGGCUGCACGCCAGGUCCUGUGAGCAGGAGUCAGUAACAUGGAAGAUGAAACCGGGGCGAGUCUGGGUCUCCUGACAACCAGGACUGGGUUCCUGCCCGAUCGUCUGCUGGUCCACUUCACAUCCUGGAGGCAGAACUGCUGGGCCAUCGCCCCACCCUGCACACUGGGACGUGGUGUGAACUCCCUGCCUGCCUCAGCCCCGCCCCCACCCUGCACACUGGGACGUGGUGUGCACUCCCUGCCUGCCUCAGCCCCGCCCACCCUGCACACUGGAACAUGGUGUGCACUCCCUGCCUGCCUCAGUCCCACCCACCCUGCACACUGGGACAUGGUGUGCACUCCCUGCCUGCCUCAGCCCCGCCCCCACCCUGCACACUGGGACAUGGUGUGCACUCCCAGCCUGCCUCAGCCCCGCCCACCCUGCACACUGGAACAUGGUGUGCACUCCCGGCCUGCCUCAGCCCCCCCCCCACCCCGCACCCGGAGACGGGGUGCACACUCUCCGUCUAACUGAACCCCCUACACCCCUCUCACUUACA
rnacentral:lncRNA from 1 species